rnacentral:tRNA from 1 species
ACCUGGCUGGCUCAGUCAGUAGAGCAUGUGACUCCUGAUCUCAGGGUUGUGAGUUCGAGGCCCAUGUUGGGUA